AUCGCUUUAUGAACAUUCAAAAAUCACACCUAUAAAGUACUUUCAGUGUUUUUCGUCUAAAGUGUACUGGACAGCGUAUGAAGUGGGAGGGGGAGGAAGUAUUUUCCAGCCAGACGACAAUAGACUUGUCAUUAUAAGGAGUGAGCACCUGACCCAUAAAAUCAUCAAGAAAGCACAACAGUUGAAAUAUGGUAUUGAAAAGAAGGCCCGUGUUCUGAAGCCUGGGAGUGAUCGCCCUUUUAUUGCAAUCUUCAUGCAACAGUCCAAACACAGCUGUGCACUUUCCUGGCAUGUGAUUGGAGAAAGCGUGUGGGAUCUUCUUGAUAAUGAAGGUCUUUUCAGUAUGGACAGACUCAUGUAAGUGGCAUUCUAUCUAUGACAGGACAAUAUGGGAGCAGUGAGAGGGUUUGGAGUGUGAUGUCAAUGGCGGAACAGCAAUCUUAAUCAAGUGUGAUUGUGUGAUCAAGUGUGAUAGGGAACUUUCAGUUAUACUACUGUUGAUUAUGAAGAUGGAAAUCCAUACAUUAAAUAAAUAGAGACAUUGUCCCAGAAAAAACACUGGUGUCUUUUUCUUUUUUCUGAGUGAUAGCCUGCAAAAGACCGUCAUUUUUUUAUGGGUAACCAGGUUCACCCCUACAUUUCCCAAC